UACGUAGGUGGCGAGCGUUGUCCGGAUUUACUGGGCGUAAAGGGAGCGUAGGCGGACUUUUAAGUGAGAUGUGAAAUAACCCGGGCGUCAACUUGGGUGCUGCAUUUCAAACUGGAAGUCUAGAGUGCAGGAGAGGAGAAUGGAAUUCCUAGUGUAGCGGUGAAAUGCGUAGAGAUUAGGAAGAACACCAGUGGCGAAGGCGAUUCUCUGGACUGUAACUGACGCUGAGGCUCGAAAGCGUGGGGAGCAAACAGGAUUAGAUACCCGUGUA
rnacentral:rRNA from 1 species